rnacentral:rRNA from 1 species
GCACUUUCAGUCGUGAGGAAGGUGGUAGUGUUAAUAGCACUAUCAUUUGACGUUAGCGACAGAAGAAGCACCGGCUAACUCCGUGCCAGCAGCCGCGGUAAUACGGAGGGUGCGAGCGUUAAUCGGAAUUACUGGGCGUAAAGCGCAUGCAGGUGGUUUGUUAAAGUCAGAUGUGAAAAGCCCGGGCUCAAACCUCGGAAAUAGCAUUUGAAAACUGGCAAAACUAGAGUACUGUAGAGGGGGUAGAAUUUCAGGUGUAGCGGUGAAAAUGCGUAGAGAUCUGAAGGAAUACCGGUGGCGAAGGCGGCCCCCUGGACAGAUACUGACACUCAGAUGCGAAAGCGUGGGGAGCAAACAGGAUUAGAUACCCUGGUAG